rnacentral:rRNA from 1 species
UACGUAGGGGGCAAGCGUUGUCCGGAUUUAUUGGGCGUAAAGAGCUCGUAGGCGGUUUGUCGCGUCUGCUGUGAAAGGCCUGGGCUCAACCUGGGAACUGCAUCCGAUACGGCGGGACUGGAGUGUGGGAGAGGUUGGUGGAAUUCCCAGUGUAGAGGUGAAAUUCGUAGAUAUUGGGAAGAACACCGGUGGCGAAGGCGGCCAACUGGACCACAACUGACGCUGAGGCGCGAAAGCGUGGGGGAGCAAACAGG